GCCGAGGUGGUGAAAUUUGGCUAGACACGCAAGCUUCAGGAGCUUGUGGACCAAAAGUCCAUGUGGGUUCGAAUCCCACCCUCGGCA
rnacentral:tRNA from 1 species